GGUUAACCCAGCCUCCCUGAAAAAGUUCGGUGAGACAGCUGAAAAGUGUUUGGCUGAGUAUGGAGUUGAUAGACCUUCAAUGGGAGACGUGUUAUGGAACCUAGAAUACGCUCUUCAGCUUGAAGAAGCCUCAUCAGCGUUGACAGAGCCUGAUGAUAACAGUACGAACCAUAUCCCUGGCAUACCAUUAACACCAGUUGAGCCAUUCGACAACAGUGUUAGCAAU
rnacentral:misc_RNA from 1 species